rnacentral:rRNA from 1 species
AACGAACGCUGGCGGCAUGCCUAACACAUGCAAGUCGAACGAGACCUUCGGGUCUAGUGGCGCACGUGUGCGUACCGCGUGGUAACCUGCCCUUAGGUUCGGAAUAACUCCCCGAAAGGGGUGCUAAUACCGGUUAAUGUCUUCGGACCAAAGAUUUAUCGCCUUUGGAUGGGCCCGCGUUGGAUUAGCUAGUUGGUAGGGUAAAAGCCUACCAAGGCGACGAUCCAUAGCUGGUCUGAGAGGAUGCUCAGCCACACUGGGACUGAGACACGGCCCAGACUCCUACGGGAAGCAGCAGUGGGGAAUAUUGGACAAGGGGCGAAAGCCUGAUCCAGCAAUGCCGCGUGAGUGAUGAAGGCCUUAGGGUUGUAAAGCUCUUUUACCCGGGAUGAUAAUGACAGUACCGGGAGAAUAAGCUCCGGCUAACUCCGUG